UAGUAUAAAACAAAUGAUAGUUAGAUUGUAGGCCAGUUCUUUACUGAACCAUGGGAAAGACAAUAUAUUCAGAAUGCCUGGGAUGGAAUAAGAGAUUCUUGCUCACUUCCUCGAGUGUGCAAGCUACCUAAAUCACUGUAUUAAUUACCAGCUACCCUGGCAGACUGCUCCUCCUUUCUCUAGAGUGGGAAGAAGAAGGGAUUAGCAGUGCCAGAGUGGGAAAUGAUCUGCUACUCAGGCUUACAGAUGCCCAGCCUGCCUGUAUCUCCAGGAAACCCUGAAGUCACUUACUUUCCUGUUUUUUCUUUAUGUAGGAAAGAAAGUAUGUAGAAUAAAGGCUGCAGUCCAAUCAUAAAUUAAAUAGUAUUUUCAAUAUAGUCACAACUUUGUCAAGUUGCCCAAAGUGUAGUGAAGAUGUGGAGAAGGACUAAGGAGGGAGUGGAAUAAGCUCCAAAUGAACAAACAAAUAAGCAAGCAAAGAAGACUACCGAAGAGAAAACAAGUUAAUAUGCAAUACCUAUAAUCCGCUAUCUAGAGCAGGUUGAUCAGCAGUCUCCUGUUUUUCACACUUUGUGCCACACUGUGUAUGCAAGCCAUGACAAGACUCUGAGGAAUCAGGGAAGCUGUAUUCUGGCUGGCAUAUGAAGUCAUUCCUCAAGUGCCACUGCAUGUGACAUGAGGGAUCAUUCCAGCAUCUUUGCUUGCCUUCAGGACUUUUUUCUAACAGGUGCAGCAGAUGAACUUCUCUUACAGCCUUCCUUGCGCAAACGAGACCAAACCAUCGCCAGCCCAGGGUGCCAGAUGACGGAGGAAGGUAGCUUUGCUCAUACCACGAGGACUAGUGGCAUUCUUGUGAAUGAACAGCAGGAACCUGCUCUUCUGCAGAGAGAAAUACUGAAUGCUCUGAUUUACUGCCACCAUGGGACUGGGAGGAGAAGAUAUUUGAGCUUCCCAGAAGCUCAGUCCUGGUACAUGAGCUCCAAGACAUUCCCUCAGACAAGAACCAUCUUGAAUUGCAAUGCAAAAUAUUGUAACCAAGACUGGAAAUCUGCUGUAGCUUUGGAUUUCUUUAUGUGCCUACAGUUUUCACAAUCCCAGCUCAAAUCACAUUUUCAACGGGAGAAGGCACCAAGGCUGCUGAGGCAGGACCUUUUCCCCAGAGUGGAGCUGAUGUCCUUUCCCUGAUGUCAUGCACAGAUGGGCAGCACUCAGGGCCCUUACUGUAACUGAAGACAGUUGUUUUCAGUUGAUCAGUGUUUUUGGUGGACUGCAAAGGAGCAAAAGUGAGAUGCGGAACUCAUACUAAAGGUACAGUUGAAACAACACUAUCUUUCUCAAAACUUCUUUUUCUAUUAACUGAAAGUCACUGCACGUCUUUUCAUUUGCAAAUUUUAAGAACUAUUGCAAGUGACACGAUCAUCUGACAAUACUGACAAAUAUUCUUUCCAGCCAUCAAAUGUAUCUCAUAUAUAACAGUGGAUCUGAGGCAAGCUGUGUUGUGACAAAGGAUUUAACUCCUUGAAGUGUCCCAUUUCCCCCUUCUCAAAAACAACCGUGGAACUAGAAUGAUCCCAUAUUCACUGCUGUUAAUGACAGAUUUAGAAAAAAAAUGUAAAUGUUGUGUUUGCUUUUAACCCUUACUUUUAUCAUAAGUUUAUACUUCCUAUGGUGAGAAUUAGUUCUUCCUCUAUAAAAUAAGACAUCAGGUUAAAGAAAGAGGAAAAGGCAAAUGAAAGAAAAAAACUCACUGUAGUAUUCCCAGAAGACAUCAUGGCAUCAACUGGAAAAUUUCACAAGCUGUCGAUGAACAUCAGAGAGUAAAGGCCCAUUUGGGCUGUGGCUUUGCUGAGUCAAUCUGCUAACACUUCAUCAGGAGUGUCAGGGGUCCUGAUAAAAUGAUAAUGACGCUGUGCACUGGGAAAGGAGGACAUAAAUAAGCUUCCUAAUUCCAUUUCUUUUAGCAUUUCUUUGUAUCCAUAUGUUCAAAUCAUAUCACACCAGUCCAGUCUUUGUACUCAGAGAGUUCCUCUGAAUUGGAUUAUAUAAUAUACUGAAAGCUGUAUUUCUUGCAGUGCCUUUGGGUUUUGUGUGUGUGUGCUUUAUUGCACUCUGACUGUGUUUUUGUACAUGUAGAAAAAAAAUAAAAGUUACUUCUCCCAGUCCUUUUGCUAGGAAUAAGAGAUGGCUCUUGG